rnacentral:rRNA from 1 species
UGGGGAAUAUUGGACAAUGGGGGCAACCCUGAUCCAGCCAUGCCGCGUGAGUGAUGAAGGCCUUCGGGUUGUAAAGCUCUUUUGGCGGGGACGAUGAUGACGGUACCCGCAGAAUAAGCCCCGGCUAACUUCGUGCCAGCAGCCGCGGUAAGACGAAGGGGGCUAGCGUUGUUCGGAAUUACUGGGCGUAAAGCGAGUGUAGGCGGUUGCCGUAGUCAGGUGUGAAAGCCUUGAGCUCAACUCAAGAAAUGCACUUGAUACUGGGUGACUAGAGGACCGGAGAGGAUAGUGGAAUUCCCAGUGUAGUGGUGAAAUACGUAGAGAUUGGGAAGAACACCAGUGGCGAAGGCGGCUAUCUGGACGGUUACUGACGCUAAGACUCGAAAGCGUGGGGAGCAAACAGGAUUAGAUACCCUGGUAGUCCACGCCGUAAACGAUGGGUGCUAGACGUUGGCGAGCUUGCUCGUCAGUGUCGCAGCUAACGCGUUAAGCACCCCGCCUGGGGAGUACGGCCGCAAGGUUGAAAACUUAAAGGAAUUGACGGGGGUCAUAGCUGUUUCCU